AUGGACUUGGCAGUGCUGCUGCAGCGACAGUCCCACCCAGACACUUGAAAAAAGAUGCAGAGAGACUGAAAGCGGGGAGGAAAAAGGUUCGAACAAUUCAGAGUUCACCAGCAGUAAAAUAGACGUUUGUGUGAAGAUCCACCCACUGACUAGGGAGAAGCAGAGAAAACACUUGUCGA